AGCACGUAGGUGGGUUUGUAAGUCAGUUGUGAAAGCCUUCCGCUUAACGGAAGAACGGCAUCUGAUACUACAGGGCUUGAGUGCGGGAGGGGAGAGUGGAACUUCUGGUGGAGCGGUGAAAUGCGUAGAUAUCAGAAGGAACGCCGGCGGCGAAAGCGACUCUCUGGUCCGAAACUGACGCUGAGUGUGCGAAAGCUAGGGGAGCAAACGGGAUUAGAUACCCCGGUA
rnacentral:rRNA from 1 species